CAACAGUGAUGAGGCCUUUUAUCCCGAAUCUGAUCCUCGGUUGAUGAGCCAAACAUCAGAUCUGACUGCUGAGUU
rfam:Xiphophorus maculatus strain JP 163 A Contig61.39, whole genome shotgun sequence.